UGGAAACGGUAGCUAAUACCGCAUAACGUCGCAAGACCAAAGAGGGGGACCUUCGGGCCUCUUGCCAUCGGAUGUGCCCAGAUGGGAUUAGCUAGUAGGUGGGGUAACGGCUCACCUAGGCGACGAUCCCUAGCUGGUCUGAGAGGAUGACCAGCCACACUGGAACUGAGACACGGUCCAGACUCCUACGGGAGGCAGCAGUGGGGAAUAUUGCACAAUGGGCGCAAGCCUGAUGCAGCCAUGCCGCGUGUAUGAAGAAGGCCUUCGGGUUGUAAAGUACUUUCAGCGGGGAGGAAGGGAGUAAAGUUAAUACCUUUGCUCAUUGACGUUACCCGCAGAAGAAGCACCGGCUAACUCCGUGCCAGCAGCCGCGGUAAUACGGAGGGUGCAAGCGUUAAUCGGAAUUACUGGGCGUAAAGCGCACGCAGGCGGUUUGUUAAGUCAGAUGUGAAAUCCCCGGGCUCAACCUGGGAACUGCAUCUGAUACUGGCAAGCUUGAGUCUCGUAGAGGGGGGUAGAAUUCCAGGUGUAGCGGUGAAAUGCGUAGAGAUCUGGAGGAAUACCGGUGGCGAAAGCGGCCCCCUGGACAAAGACUGACGCUCAGGUGCGAAAGCGUGGGGAGCAAACAGGAUUACAUACCCUGGUAGUCCACGCCGUAAACGAUGUCGACUUGGAGGUUGUGCCCUUGAGGCGUGGCUUCCGGAGCUAACGCGUUAAGUCGACCGCCUGGGGAGUACGGCCGCAAGGUUAACCAUGAAGUCGGAAUCGCUAGUAAUCGUG
rnacentral:rRNA from 1 species